GUAGAAACUUGGAUGGAGUCUGGUUACUAUAGAAAUCUUGUUGUCGGAGAAGCUCAGAUAUCGAUGAAGUUUGAAAGAAGUUCGGAAUAGGAUCGUCCAUGGCCAGAAAGAGUCUGGGAGGGAUUCGGAGAAUAGUUGAUCACUGUAAAAGGUUGGCUGAUAAGGAAGCCCAGAGAGCCUUUGGAGUGGCCCGAUAGAUGAAUGGGGAAGCUCAUUGUCGGAGAAGUCCGAAUGGUCGAGAGAGUUCAGAAAGACGUCACACAAGGUCGGAAGCCGGA
rnacentral:lncRNA from 1 species